GCGCCCGUAGCUCAACUGGAUAGAGCAUCUGACUACGAAUCAGAAGGCUGGAAGUUCGACUCUUUCCGGGCGCGCCA
rnacentral:tRNA from 1 species